AGAGUUUGAUCCUGGCUCAGGAUGAACGCUAGCUACAGGCCUAACACAUGCAAGUCGAGGGGAAACGACAUCGAAAGCUUGCUUUUGAUGGGCGUCGACCGGCGCACGGGUGAGUAACGCGUAUCCAACCUGCCCACCACUUGGGGAUAACCUUGCGAAAGUAAGACUAAUACCCAAUGACGUCUCUAGAAGACAUCUGAAAGAGAUUAAAGAUUUAUCGGUGAUGGAUGGGGAUGCGUCUGAUUAGCUUGUUGGCGGGGUAACGGCCACCAAGGCUACGAUCAGUAGGGGUUCUGGAGAGGAAGGUCCCCCACAUUGGAACUGAGACACCGGUCAAACUCCUACGGGAGGCA
rnacentral:rRNA from 1 species